GGGGCAGUUUCAGUUUCGAUUGCGACGGGGAGACGUUCGUAAGCAUACCAAAGGCUCGGCUUUGUAAAAACGGAAACUUAAAUUUAAAUGCAGAAUCCAAGAAUUCUAACAAAGUAAUGGCUUUCCCUGCUCGUCAGGCUAGCCUUGCUUGCGCAGCUUAACUAAGCUGUCCGUCGCUGUAACCUGUGCCGCUCGGGUUAUAGUUGGCGCUAAUCUAAGCGGAACUUUUAUCUCGGCUUAACCGCGCUGCGUUAAAAGUAUUUGGCGGUUUGCCCGUGCGCGUUGCCCGUUUAUCGGCGCGUGUGCGGAAAGAUUAAUUGGUAAACUAAGUAUGUAGAAAGCGCGUCCGAACGCCGUAAGACCGGGGUGCAAGUCCCCGCUGCUCCACCA
rnacentral:tmRNA from 1 species